CCAGCCCGCCCCGCCCCUCCCCCGCCUGUGGGUGCUCUCGGGCAGCGGCGGUGCCCGGGCGGCGGGGGCAUGGCGGCCCCGGACAGCUGCGUGAAGGUGGCCGUGAGGAUCCGUCCCCAACUGUCCAAAGAGAAAAUAGAGGGAUGUCACAUCUGCACCUCGGUGACACCCGGCGAGCCCCAGGUGCUGCUGGGGAAGGACAAGGCCUUUACCUAUGACUUUGUCUUUGACCUUGACACAUGGCAGGAGCAGAUCUACACGACGUGCGUGGGCAAGCUCAUCGAAGGCUGCUUCGAGGGCUACAAUGCCACCGUGCUGGCAUAUGGCCAGACUGGCGCAGGGAAGACAUACACCAUGGGCACCGGCUUCGACAUGAACAUCUCUGAGGAUGAGCAGGGCAUCAUCCCGCGGGCUAUCGGCCACCUCUUCAGCGGCAUUGAGGAGCGCAAGCGGGCGGCGCAGAGUCAGGGCGUGGCGGCGCCCGAGUUCAAAGUCAGCGCCCAGUUCCUGGAGCUCUACAACGAGGAGAUCCUGGACCUGUUUGACAGCGCCCGCGACCCUGAUGCGCGCCACCGCAAAUCCAACAUCAAAAUCCAUGAGGAUGCCAGCGGGAGCAUCUACACUACGGGAGUCACAUCGCGCCUCAUCAGCUCACAGGACGAGCUGAUCCAGUGCCUAAAACAGGGGGCUCUUUCCCGCACCACCGCCAGCACCCAGAUGAAUGUGCAGAGCUCCCGCUCCCACGCCAUCUUCACCAUUCACCUGUGCCAGAUGAGAGUGUGCACCCGCCCGGAGCUGGUGAAUGAUGGGGAGGUCACCAGCCUCCUGGACGGAACCCAACCCACCACCGAGUAUGAAACCCUCACGGCCAAGUUUCACUUCGUAGACCUGGCUGGCUCGGAGAGGCUGAAGCGAACUGGUGCUACUGGCGAGAGAGCGAAGGAAGGCAUCUCCAUCAACUGUGGGCUGCUGGCCCUGGGGAACGUCAUUAGUGCUCUCGGAGACCAGAGCAAGAAAGUUGUGCACGUGCCCUACCGUGACUCCAAGCUCACCCGCCUGCUGCAGGAUUCCCUUGGGGGCAACAGCCAAACCAUCAUGAUCGCCUGCGUGAGCCCAUCUGACCGGGACUUCAUGGAGACCCUGAACACGCUCAAAUAUGCCAACCGGGCUCGCAACAUCAAGAACAAGGUGGUGGUGAACCAGGACAAGACAAGUCAGCAGAUCAGCGCCCUGCGGGCCGAGAUCGCCCGCCUGCAGAUGGAGCUGAUGGAAUACAAGGCGGGCAAGCGGGUCAUUGGGGAGGAUGGCUCGGAGGGUUACAGUGACCUUUUCCGCGAGAAUGCCAUGCUGCAGAAGGAGAACAGUGCCCUGCGCAUGCGGGUGAAGGCCAUGCAGGAGGCCAUCGAUGCUAUCAACAGCAGGGUUACCCACCUCAUGAGCCAGGAGGCCAAUCUGAUGCUGGCCAAGGCAGGUGACGGUAAUGAAGCCAUUGGUGCUCUCAUCCAGAACUACAUCCGGGAGAUUGAAGAGCUGAGGACGAAGCUCCUGGAGAGUGAGUCCAUGAAUGAGUCUCUGCGUCGGAGCCUCUCGCGCGUCUCUGCCCGGCCCCCCUACUCCAUGGGCUCGUCCCCAGCACCCGGCUUGGCUGGCCUGUGCAGCCCUGCUGCUCUGGUGGAGACAGAGGCCUCCGACGUCCUCCAACGGGCCAAGCAGGACCUGGAGCGCCUGAAAAAGAAGGAGAGGAGGCAGCGAAGGAAGAGCCCAGAGAAGGAAGCAUUUAAGAAGCGUCAGAAACUGCAGCAGGACAACGGGGAGGAAACGGAUGAGAACGAGGUGGAAGAGGAGGAGGAGGAACAGGAUGAGAGCGGCUGUGAGGAAGAGGACGGACGUGAGGAUGAAGAUGAGGACUCGGGCAGUGAAGAGAGCCUGGUGGACUCAGACUCGGAUGCAGAGGAGAAGGCCGUGAAUUUCCAGGCCGACCUGGCGGAUCUGACUUGUGAGAUAGAGAUCAAGCAGAAGCUGAUCGAUGAGCUGGAGAACAGUCAGCGGCGCCUGCAGACCCUCAAGCACCAGUAUGAGGAGAAGCUUAUCCUGCUGCAGAACAAGAUCCGGGACACACAGCUGGAGCGGGACCGGGUCCUACAGAACCUCAGCACCAUGGAGUGCUACACGGAGGAGAAAGCCAACAAGAUCAAAGCAGAUUAUGAGAAGCGGCUGAAGGAGAUGAACCGGGACCUGCAGAAGCUCCAGGCAGCCCAGAAGGAGCAUGCUCGCCUGCUCAAGAACCAGUCACGCUACGAGCGGGAGCUGAGGAAGCUGCAGGCGGAGGUGGCCGAGAUGAAGAAGGCAAAGGUUGCCCUGAUGAAGCAGAUGCGGGAGGAGCAGCAGCGGAGGCGUCUGGCAGAGACGAAGAGGAAUCGGGAGAUUGCACAGCUCAAGAAGGAGCAACGCCGUCAGGAAUUUCAGAUCCGGGCUCUGGAGUCUCAGAAGCGGCAGCAGGAAAUAGUGCUGCGGAGGAAAACUCAGGAGGUCUCAGCACUGCGCCGUCUUGCCAAGCCCAUGUCAGACCGGGUUGCAGGCAGGACAAGCCAAAAGCCGGCCAUGCUGGACUCGGGCGCGGAGGUCUCAGCCAGCACCACCUCCUCCGAGCCCGAGUCCGGUGCUCGCUCUGUCUCCAGCAUCGUGCGCCAGUGGAACAGGAAAAUCAACAACUUCCUGGGAGACCCCUCAUCCUCCGUGAACGGGGCUCGGCCCACCAGGAAGAAGUUCCCCAAGAAGGGGGCGAGCCAGACCUUCAGCAAAACUGCCCGCCUCAAGUGGCAGUCACUGGAGCGGCGCAUCUUCGACAUUGUCAUGCAGAGGAUGACCAUCGUCAACCUGGAGGCUGACAUGGAGCGGCUCAUCAAGAAACGUGAGGAGCUGGCAUUGCUGCAGGAAGCGUUGCUGGGCAAGAGGGCGAAACUGCAGGCAGAGAGCCCCAAGGAGCAGAAGGGGCUGCAGGAGCUGAACGAGGAGAUCGAGGUGCUGGGGGCCAACAUCGACUACAUCAACGAUAGCAUUUCUGACUGCCAGGCCACCAUCAUGCAGAUUGAGGAGACCAAGGAGGAGCUGGACUCCACGGACACCUCAGUGGUGAUCAGCUCCUGCUCCCUGGCUGAAGCCCGUCUCCUGCUGGACAACUUCCUGAAGGCCUCCAUUGACAAGGGGCUGCAGGUGGCACAGAAGGAGGCCCAGAUCCGCUUGCUGGAGGGGCGCCUGCGUCAGACGGACGUGACCGGUUCCUCGCAGAACCAUGCCAUCCUGGACGCCCUGCGGGAGAAGGCCGAGUCACACCCUGAGCUGCAGGCCCUGAUCCACAACGUCCAGCAAGAGAAUGGCUACACCAGCACGGACGAGGAAGUCUCGGAGUUCAGCCUGGCUUCAGAUGGGAGCAUCUCCCAGUCUUUCACCAUGAAGGGCUCAGCAAGCCAGGAUGACUUCAAGUUCAAGGGAGAGCCCAAGCUCUCAGGGCAGAUGAAGGCGGUGUCAGCCGAGUGUCUAGGACACACACUGGAUGUCUCCACCAAGAACAUCACCAAGUCCUUGGCAUCCCUCAUGGAGAUCAAAGAGGAUGGGAUCAGCUUCUCCAUCCGAGAUCCCUAUUACAAGGAGAAGGUGUCACGCACCAUCAGCCUGCCCACGCGAGGAAGCACCUUUCCCAGGCAAUCUCGUGGCUCAGACACUUCGCCUCUGACAAGGAGGAAAUCCUAUGACCGUGGGCAACCUGCCAGGCCUCCAGAUGUUGGCUUCACGCCUCCCUCAUCCCCACCCACCCGUCCACGCAACGACCGCAAUGUCUUCUCUCGUCUCACGAGCAACCAGAGUCAGGGGUCUGCCUUGGAUAAGUCUGAUGACAGCGAUUCCUCUGUCUCGGAGGUGCUGAGGGGCAUCAUUAACCCGGUGGGUGGCACCAAGAACGCCCGGACAGCCCCGCUGCAGUGCGUCUCCGUGGCAGAAGGACACACCAAGCCUGUGCUCUGCCUGGAUGCCACCGAUGAGCUGCUUUUCACUGGGUCCAAAGACCGGAGCUGCAAAAUGUGGAACCUGGUGACGGGCCAAGAAAUUGCUUCCCUCAAGGGUCAUCCAAACAACGUGGUUUCCAUCAAGUACUGCAGCCACACAGGACUGGUGUUCACUGUGUCCACAUCGUACAUCAAAGUGUGGGACAUCCGGGACUCGGCGCGGUGCAUCCGCACCCUCACAUCUUCUGGACAGGUCAUCUCUGGGGAUGCAUGUGCUGGGACCACCACUCGCACUGUCACCAGCGUGCAGGGGGAGCACCAGAUCAACCAGAUUGCUCUCAACCCCACUGGCACCAUGCUCUAUACUGCAACUGGUAACUCCGUCCGCAUCUGGGAGCUGAGCAGGUUGCAGCCCAUCGGGAAGCUGAGUGGCCACAUUGGGCCUGUGAUGUGUCUCACAGUGAACCAGACAGCGAGCAACCAUGACCUGGUGGUGACAGGCUCCAAAGAUCACUACGUCAAGGUGUUUGAGAUUGCUGAGGGCAUGGUGGGCAAUAUUGGCCCCACUCACAACUUUGAGCCCCCUCACUAUGACGGUAUCGAGUGCCUGGCCAUUCAGGGAGACAUCCUCUUCAGCGGCUCCAGGGACAACGGCAUAAAGAAGUGGGAUCUGGAGCAGCAGGAACUUAUCCAGCAAAUCCCCAAUGCCCACAAAGAUUGGGUCUGUGCCCUGGCCUUCAUCCCUGGCCGCCCCAUGGUGCUGAGUGCCUGCCGAGGAGGCAUGAUCAAAGUCUGGAACGUGGACAACUUCACCCCCGUUGGGGAGAUCAAAGGGCACGACAGCCCCAUCAACGCCAUCUGCACAAACUCAAAGCACAUCUUCACCGCCUCCAGUGACUGCCGGGUAAAGUUAUGGAAUUACGUGCCUGGGCUCACCCCUUGCCUUCCACGACGCGUCCUUGCCAUAAAGGGCCGUGCUACUAGUCUGCCUUGACCCUCCUGCUCUUUCUGACUCUCUUGCUCAUGCACUCCUCUUCUGUCUUUUCUUUCCUUUUCUCUUUCUCUCCAUCUCCUUCUCCCUGUGUCUUUCUCUCUGUUGCCUGCUUUUGCUCCUCUCUCUCUCUUUUUCUUUCUUUCUCUCUGGUCUGAGCUGCUUCUUCACGCGACUUGACAGUGAAGCUCUGGAGCGGGAGGAGGUUGCCCGCGGGGUCAAACUAGGAACUGCAAAACAACUGGAAGACAUGACAGGACGGGUGAAGGUCAGGGUACCUCUCCCUUGCUAUCAAGACCCUGUCAUCUACAGGAGCUCAGCCCAGGGAUAGGGUUUUAUUUGUGCCUGACCCAACGGGGUGGACAAUGUCCCAUCUGGUACUUUGAGCACUGCCAGCUCCUGUGAGAAGGCACUUCCAUGGGGCACCAUCAGCUCCACCUUCCCUCCUGCUGAGGUUUCUUGAUGGUUUUCCAGUGACCAGAAAAUGUUUCGUCUCACUUCUCACCCACCCUGCUGCAAUGCCUGCCAGGACUUCUGGGGGUCAGAGCUCCUCGGCUCCUUCUCAGAGACACCCAAUUCCCUCCUGCCACCGUGGGCUCAUGUGGCCUCCACCAUGAUCUGCUUCUUCUGCCUGUUGACUCCGGGGCUGGUUCCUGCAGGUGUCUUUCUCCACUCCAUGGCCAUGAGGACAUUUGGUGUCUGCUGGCCAGGACCACAGCAUAGAGGGGCUGCUGCUUUGGAGACAUUACUUGUGGGACAGCCUCUCUGCUGUGGGGGGCCUGCAGAAGGAUUUCCAGGUACUCCCAUCGUUCCCCAUCCUCUGUUUACCUGUCCUUAGCAAUUGGAGGUGUGAACCUCUGACCUCCUUUGCCAUGUCCCAGCUGUGGAGGUACAUCUCCGUCAGGCAACUUCCAGACGAACCCUCUACGGUUCCCUUCAACGUUCUCCAAACCCCAGUUAUGAACUCAGCUGACCCGUGGCUCUUGUGCCCUUCCCCACGUGCCCACCCUGCUCUGAAGUGGGGAGGGGAAGGGCUACUUAGCCCUGCUCUUGAGACCUUGGCCCUCAGCAGGGGUUUUGUGGUGGGUUCCCGCAGCAUGUUAACCCCCUUGAGAUGGAGAAAUGAAGCAGGAAUGGAGGUUACAGGGCAAAGAAGCCAAGGCUGGAUUUGUUAUCCCCCACCCCUAUGGCCCAUCUUGUUUUGCCAUCACUGGGAGCUGGAAGCGCUAACUCCUUCCCCAAGGCUCUGCUCUCAGCCUUCUGCCAGAGAGGGAGCUAGCUGAGGUUUGUCCCGUCAGCCCCCAUGGAUCUGGAGCCGGAGGGGGCCCAGCGAGGCACAGAGCAGCCGGAGUUUGAACAAGGAUGGAGCCAGCUGUGCCAGGAGUGGGGUGAGGAAGGGGUUGCACACAGUGGUCUCGCACAAGUCCCCCGAUUCACCCCACGCUUGAAGGACAAUCCUGCAGUGGAUGAUCUUGCACAAUCCAACCUCCAAGAAAGGCUGGGUACUCUGUCCAGGAGCGUGUCCCCAAGGAGACAGCUUCUCCAAGCUCUCUCCAUCCUCUCUCCUGUGCAAGGGACUGGCAAGACCCUGGUCUCACACUUUCUUCCAUCUCUCCUGUGGCUCGUUGGACCAUCACCUACUCUGUCCUGCUGUGGGCCAGGCAGGCUUGUUGUGUGAUGUCUGAGGAGACCCUGGGAGUGGUGCUUUCGCCUCGUGUGCUCUCACUUCCCCUCUGUCACAGAAGAAGCAGCAUUUGAACUCCAAUUUAAGGAUUUCUUCAAGUGAUCACACCAGCACUGAGCUGGGAUCUCGGAGGUCAGCAGCUCCAGGACCUGCCCCAUAAAGCACAGGCUGUUUUCCCUCUGCUUUCUCCAACUGUGGUGACUCAUGGACCAGCCCCAGGUCAUUUGCCAGCAGCCCUCGUUAAAACCAUUCCAGGUGGAGUGUGGGAGUUCCUCCACAUCCUGAAAGGCGGAAGCAUCUCUAUUGAUUUCAUGGGGAUUUUUUGCCUUUUGGGGGGAAAAAAACACCCACCUUGCCUUGGUGGAGGGCAUGAUGGCGUGUGUGGGUGUGACCCUGCCCAGGAACUGGUCCCUCAUGGUCGUGGCUCAGCCCUGCACAGCCCGAGACUGGCGGCUGCAUCGCGUGUGUCUGUGUUUGACUGUCUGUAGCCAGGCGUACCGUGUACAUCAGUGUCUGCGCCAAGAUCUGCCAGCGCCUGACCUGGAACCUCUCACUGCUCCCUGCUGAAGUCAGUGAAGGGACCUGCUCUUGGGGGGCUUUGGGUCAGACCUGCCUUUGCCUUUCUCCACCAGUUUCUUCCUGUGUGUAGGCUGCAAGUGCCUGCUUAAUUUCCCAGGGCUGUGGCCAAUCCUGGGUGAUGCUGAGCACCCACCUUGCUGCUACACCCAGCAGCAUGUUGAGGGGGCUUCGAUGCUUUUGCAGCCUGCAAGUGGAGGGAGCUGGGUACUGGGGCACAGCAGCGAGCAUCCGGAGAGGGGAGGUGUUUUUGAAGCAAGGGGUGACUCUGUGAUCCCAUAGCUCUGUGUGUGUGUGUGUGUGUGUGUGUGUGUGUACGUCUUAGUAUCUGAGUGGGAUGAUAUUUUCCAUGCAGGAGAGUGUUUCUCGGGUGUUGAUCUGGUUUAGCUACCUCAUGGUGCAAGCUGGGUGCUGUCGUCAUUGGAUUGCAUUUUGGGGAGUUUGUGGUUUUAGUUGUUGGGGUGUUUUUUUAUUAUUGUUACGGUUUUGACACUUGAAUUCAUCCUGGGGACACGUGGCCUCCCCCUCACCUCACUGCAUGUCUGAGCCACCUCUCACGUCCCCCUCCCUGCCUCCUCCUGGGCAGCGCAGCAGGACCAGCAUCCUGCUCUGCCCUGUGCUCCCAGCUAUCACCUUUGCAGUGGGAUCCCCCAGUUGAGUUGCAACACUGAGAUUUUUGCUCCCGUUGCUGUUGGGAUGCUUGGACUGAGGCUCGGUAUUGUUGGUGUAAGUUAUUGAGUUGAUUUGCAGCCUGGAAGUGGUCCCUCUUGUCCCUUUGAAAGAUGGAAAGGGACUUCUGAAAGGCUCAACUCAGCCUGUAUUCCUGCCUCUGCUCGCUCAGAUAUUCUCUGUGGAUGCAAUGAAGCCCUUCUUGUCUGGAAAAUGUCAUGCAAAGCACAUCACUGGAAGGGGCUGGUCCUAGUCCCCAUUUUCCAGACCCUGCUGUAAUUUGCUGGCAGCCUGGAGCAGUGGGGAACUGGUGCUGUAAAGGCCUCGGGAUGGGGGGGGGGUGUCUGUGAGAGAAGCUGAUUCUCGUGUGUGAUGUUUGAUUUUUUCACCCCCAAAACAUAGUUGAAUCUAGAUCUUGUCCCAGGCACUGAACAUAAAGCAGGGUAACCCUGGAGCCCCCAGAUUACCCCCUACCCGGGGCUGGGGAGCCGGGACAGGGCUGUACCCCGCUCCCCUGGCGCAACGGGGUUUGGGAAGGGGCUUGCAGCUCUGAGCUGAGCUGCACUGUCAGUUUGAAGGGGCAGGUUCCCCCAAACACUAAAGCACAAGGUCCCAAUAUGCAGGUGAUCUGGCAAGGAUGGCCCCUUGGACUCUCGUCCUUCAGAGCUCAGGGCCGUGGGCUUGGACACCCAAGGUGGAGCUGAGGCGAGGGAUGAUGGUGAGGGCUGUUUGCCUGCCGGUGGAAGCAUAUGAGCUGUUUCAUCGUUUUGCACUGUGCUGGGGUGGUCCCCUGGGGCUGCUGCAUAGCUUAAGUCCCUUCCUGUGGCCUCUGACACCCGCUGCCAGCCCCUCCAUUGCAGAGACAGUUUGGAGCUGCCUUCGCACCAUGCACCUUGUUUUAAUUUGCCCUUAGGUGCCUUGGUUUGUGCCAAGGGUGUAAUGAUACCUGCAGUGCAGGGAGGUCCUUGCCUUCCUCAAACUUCUGGGUGCUGCUUUUGUCCCCGGGCCUUGGCUCUUGCUCCACAGGUUGCCCCCCCUCCAGCACACAGGGGCCAGCUCCAGCCACUGCUGAGGGUGUAGUGCUGGCCCAGAGCUGAGCUUUGUACACAAGGGGUGGAGAUGACCCAGGAGCCUGAAAGCACCAGGCCCCCAAACCACUGUGAGCCCACCCAGAGAGCCUGGGCCAUGCCCUCCCUGGCACCCACAGCUCUUGUGGCACAAAAGCCAGGCUGGUGGUUCAUCUCCCAGCCUGGCCGGCUGCCAGGAGCUGGAGCACCGGCGUCCUGUCCACUCCAGGUACGUUGUUCCUAUCCAGCACCUCCCAGCACAGCUGCUUUGGGGUCUCAGGUGCUGCCUCCUGCCUUGGUGCUGCGGAAGCAGUGCCUGCUCCCCAGGGUGCUCUCCCAGUGCCCCUACCCCAGUUCUUCCCCUGUCUUAUGCUGGAUGAGGUCCGGGUAUGAUCCCUGCAAAGCACAGGGCUCCCACUUGGUUUUCAGCAAGCUCACUGGAGUUUUGCUCCGGCCUGCAGGCUGCACGCCCUCCCUGAGCCCCCUUCACCCUCCUGGGGAGGGAAGGGGACCCCUCGCCCUGGCCCCUCCGUGUGCUGCAGGGGCUCCAGCUGUAACUGGGAGGGAGCCCAUACAGUCCUGGCCCCCCAGGCCCUGUCCUGCCUUCCUGCGCCUCACCCCCAGAAAAGCACAACCCUGCGCCUUCCUCCUGCCCCUGGGGGCUUGUCCCCUUAUCCGUGACAGCUCUGCCCCUGGUACCUGCCAGCUGUUCCACAUCCCCCACCUCCUGGGACCACCCAGUACCCUCUGGUCCAGCCCUGAGGUAGGGCUUGGGCAGCUGUAGCGUCGCGUCACCUGCUCCAUCACCCCUUCCCCCUGCACAAAUACUGCAAAUAGCAGGUGCCUUUUCUUGCUUGGAGCUGUUUUCUAGAGGCCAACUCUUGUGAAGGCUUUUUUUUUUCUCUGCUGGGUCGUGCAGCCCAGCCCAGUGGUCUGGGUUAGUCAGAAGAUAGGGCGUGUACGUAUAUUUUAUACCUUGAUGUAUGUGUUCCUGUAAAUAGUGUAAGUUAUUUUGGUCUCAUGAUGUACAUGUCUUUUUCAAUGGCUGUGUUUGUUCCUUGCCUUUUUGUCUUCACAAAUAAAAUGUACUGAAAUGAA